rnacentral:rRNA from 1 species
GAAGGGGGCGAGCGUUAUCCGGAUUCAUUGGGCGUAAAGCGCGCGCAGGCGGACCGUUAAGCGGGACCUCUAAUCUCAGGGCUCAACCUUGAGCCGGGUCCCGAACUGGCGUGUCUCGAGUUCGGUAGGGGAGAUCGGAAUUCCCGGUGUAGCGGUGGAAUGCGCAGAUAUCGGGAAGAACACCGAUGGCGAAGGCAGAUCUCUGGGCCGCAACUGACGCUGAGGCGCGAAAGCUAGGGGAGCGAA